GCCAACGUAGCUCAGCUGGUAGAGCAGCGCCCUCGUAAUGCGCAGGUCGCGGGUUCGAGUCCCGCCGUUGGCUCCA
rnacentral:tRNA from 1 species